rnacentral:rRNA from 1 species
UACGUAGGGUGCGAGCGUUGUCCGGAAUUACUGGGCGUAAAGAGCUCGUAGGUGGUUUGUCGCGUUGUUCGUGAAAACUCACAGCUUAACUGUGGGCGUGCGGGCGGAUACGGGCAGACUGGAGUACUGCAGGGGAGACUGGAAUUCCUGGUGUAGCGGUGGAAUGCGCAGAUAUCAGGAGGAACACCGGUGGCGAAGGCGGGUCUCUGGGCCGAUACUGACGCUGAGGAGCGAAAGCGUGGGGGAGCGAACAGG